rnacentral:rRNA from 1 species
UACUCCCGCCGGCGACCGGCGCACGGGUGAGUAACACGUAUGAAACCUGCCCGUAGCAGGGGGAUAAGCGGAAGAAAUUCCGUCUAAUACCGCGUAACAACCCAUGGAGGCAUCUCUGUGGGUUUAAAGGAAGCGAUUCCGGCUACGGAUGGGCAUGCGGCGCAUUAGGCAGUAGGCGGGGUAACGGCCCACCUAACCGACGAUGCGUAGGGGUUCUGAGAGGAAGGUCCCCCACACUGGUACUGAGACACGGACCAGACUCCUACGGAAGGCAGCAG